rnacentral:tRNA from 1 species
CGGAGCGUAGCGCAGCCUGUUAGCGCAUCUGCUAUGGGAGCAGAGGGAAGCGACUUCUAAUCCCGCCGCUCAGACCA